AACGAACGCUGCGGCAGGCUUAACACAUGCAAGUCGAGCGCCCCGCAAGGGGAGCGGCAGACGGGUGAGUAACGCGUGGGAAUCUACCUUUUUCUACGGAAUAACGCAGGGAAACUUGUGCUAAUACCGUAUGAGCCCUUCGGGGGAAAGAUUUAUCGGGAAAGGAUGAGCCCGCGUUGGAUUAGCUAGUUGGUGGGGUA
rnacentral:rRNA from 1 species